rnacentral:rRNA from 1 species
UACAGAGGUCUCAAGCGUUGUUCGGAUUCAUUGGGCGUAAAGGGUGCGUAGGUGGCGGGGCAAGUCAGGUGUGAAAUCUCGGGGCUCAACCCCGAAACUGCACUUGAUACUGCUUUGCUCGAGUACUGGAGAGGAGACUGGAAUUUACGGUGUAGCAGUGAAAUGCGUAGAGAUCGUAAGGAAGACCAGUGGCGAAGGCGAGUCUCUGGACAGUUACUGACACUGAGGCACGAAGGCCAGGGGAGCAAACGGG